CCCAGACUCCUACGGGAGGCAGCAGUGGGGGAUAUUGCACAAUGGGGGAAACCCUGAUGCAGCGACGCCGCGUGAGUGAAGAAGUAUUUCGGUAUGUAAAGCUCUAUCAGCAGGGAAGAAAAAAGACGGUACCUGACUAAGAAGCCCCGGCUAACUACGUGCCAGCAGCCGCGGUAAUACGUAGGGGGCAAGCGUUAUCCGGAUUUACUGGGUGUAAAGGGAGCGUAGACGGCAAUACAAGUCGGAAGUGAAAUACCCGGGCUCAACCUGGGAACUGCUUUGGAAACUGUAUGGCUGGAGUGCUGGAGAGGUAAGCGGAAUUCCUAGUGUAGCGGUGAAAUGCGUAGAUAUCAGGAGGAACACCGGCGGCGAAGGCGGCCUGCUGGACCGCGACUGACGUUGAGGCUCGAAAGCGUGGGGAGCGAACAGGAUUAGAUACCCGCGUA
rnacentral:rRNA from 1 species